UUUAUUAAAGUUAUCUUAUUGUUUUAUCGGAGUUAUAUUAUUACUACCAUCUUAUCACUAUUUUAAUUUUAUCAUCUAUUAUCAUUCUUGUUAUACAUAAGUUAUUGUUAUCUUUACUACUGUAGGAUAAGCGCGCUACACGAAAUCUUUAAAUAUAGAAAACUUUUAUUAAAAGUGGAUGAGUUAACCCAGUUAUUCUAUCCAAAUAUCUCACAAUCCACCUAACAAUUGAAUUGAUCCUAGCUCUCACAUCCCAGGGUAUUACCGGCCCAGCAGGUAGCCCAAAAAGAGAUAGCGCCCCUUUAUCUACUGCCGAGGUAAGUAGAAUAAAGGAAAGUCCGUCGUCCGAGACGUAACAACAUGUGUAUCCCAGAUAGCCAAGCGAGAUUUAGCAUAUCGGAUAAACUGAUGCAACGCACAUAUUGUUAUAAACUUGUCGACAAUUUGCUGUCAUUGGACUCUAACGUGGAACUGAGUUAGCAUCGGGAGGACAAAUAAACUUCAUGAGUUUAUGAAAUUGUAAGAGCAUACAUUGAGGACUAAUAAACUCGUCACAUUGAUAGCAAAUUGACGGCACGUCAUGGGCUCGCAUUUUAUAUGUAGAAUCAUGACGGCAACGUGACGGCAACGUGAUGGCAAAAUGACGACACUUAUGAUAUCAAACAUUGUACACAAGAAGCAUAAUAUCUAUUGAAUAAUGAUAAAGUUUCCAAACUACAUCUUGAUGUCGACAACUUAUCGACAUAAGUUUAUUCUUCAUGGGCAACAAUUUGUCGGCCAGCAUGGAUCACUUCUCUUGCUAAAAUAUAUAAGAUUUUACAGCCUAGUUAUCAGUGUGCAACGCCGCCGAUAGGUCAAUAGGCGACUUAACUCUCUCAGGAAUAAAAUACAGCCGACACGCUACAUAAAGACCACACGAGGCAUUGUGGCAACAUUGAGGCAAGCAAUAAUUAGCUUUUUUUGCUACGAGAGGACGAUGUGGAAGAGAACACAUAAUACUUUUAUGAUUUACUCAUUUUAAUUUAGUAAACGAUUCGCUACAAGAAAACGUUCACUCCAGUCGAAUAAAGAGUUCACUUAUCAAGCGAAAAAUUCAUUCUGAUAAAAAGUGAGAUGUCAUUCUAUUUUGAGUACCCGUAUUUUCACUAUCGCUUAGAGUAAAUUCGUUCUUUUAAAGUGCACUCCAAAAAAUUUAGUACGUGUAUGUUACGAGUAUGAAGACUAGAACCAGGAGACCGAUCUCUGUGGUUUUGAGUAAGGCGAAAAUCUGUUAGAAAUGUAGUAUCAAAUGGUGGCGCUGACGAUGCUGAUACACCGGAAUAUAUUCCAACUUUAGAUAUAAAUGUCUAGUCUAAGGAAGCGUUCCCACCGAGCGCGUCACGCGUCGCGUCGUCCUUCCCGUCCAAUCAAAACGUCCCAUUUUAUUAUUAUAAAAUAUAAUGGAUGUUUUGAUUGGAUGCGAAGGAUGACGCGACGCUUGACGCGCUCGGUGAGAACACUCCCUAAGUUUAUCGUAGUCAGCCGUGCUAGUGGUGCUAGGCUGUACGCAGUUGUAUGUUUGGUAUAAGAAAACUGAGAUAAGUAUUCUAAAUGUAAAAUUGCUAAGAUUUUUAUUAUAAAUUUGCAUUUAUUGUCAAAUGCUUGUCGUUAUACUCCAUAUUGUUUCCGGUAAAUCAUUGUUGCCAGCGCCACCAUUUGGUACUACAUUUGUGACAGAUUUUCGCCUCACUUUUGGAGGCGAAAUCAGGCUUAGUUCGGGCUCCUGGUCAGCGUUGCCAACCGUACCAUAAUUAUGGUACAUGUACCAUAAUUCGCUCGCAAUGUACUUUGUACCUUACAAGGUAGCUAUGGUACGCAUAUUGUACCAUAAUUUUGAUAAUUUAAAAAAAUGUAUUUUUUAUCAUUUUUUUCCUUAUAUUGACAAAAAACACAUCUUUCUCUUAUAAUAUUUUCUUAAGACAGCGAUAGGUGUAAGAAGUCGUAAGAAAUUUUCGUUAAGGUUUCGGUGCUGGGUUAAUCCGUUUCAGUUUCUUUUCCUCUAGAAGUGGCCAAUCACAGUUGUUCCCUUCUUCAAAAGAAUGGCUGUGAUUGGUGACUAAAAAUGACGAAAGGGUAUCUUUAUUUUUAGUCACGUGAUGUCUUUUGACGCUGAAAAUGAGCGUCAAGCGUCAGCGUGAAAAGGCACCAUUACAUAUGUUAUAUUAUGUAAUUUUGGUUAUGUUAUUCACCUGAUUAAUCCCAUACAGAUUGGAAAAACGCCUAUUAGAUAUCUGAAGUACAGUUGCGUACGCGUUGUAUAUCCUGCGUAAAUUAAUCUUAAAAAUUUUAACUUAUUUUCUAAAAAAUAAAAAUGUCAUCCGAUUCAGAUUCAAACACCACACCCAAAAAGAAGCCUAAAUAUACAAAACGCAAGCAAAAGUAUAGAAGAGAUUGGGAAAUGAUAUUAAAAUGGCUAAAUCCUGUAGAAAAUGAUCCGUACAGUGCAUAUUGCAAGGUUUGCAAAUGCAAUUUAAAAGCUGAUUUGAGCGUAUUAAAAUUACAUGGCGAAGGCAAAAAGUAUAUGUCAUAUA